rnacentral:rRNA from 1 species
UACGGGGGGGGCAAGCGUUGUUCGGAAUUACUGGGCGUAAAGCGUGCGCAGGCGGCUUUGCAAGACAGAUGUGAAAUCCCCGGGCUUAACCUGGGAACUGCAUUUGUGACUGCAUGGCUGGAGUGCGGCAGAGGGGGAUGGAAUUCCGCGUGUAGCAGUGAAAUGCGUAGAUAUGCGGAGGACCACCGAUGGCGAAGGCAAUCCCCUGGGCCUGCACUGACGCUCAUGCACGAAAGCGUGGGGAGCAAACAGG